rfam:uncultured archaeon A07HR60 genomic scaffold scf7180000001781, whole genome shotgun sequence.
CUGAUGAUCGCGUCCGGGUCAAUUGCGCCCUCGCGCAACACCCGAUCUCCUUGCUCGUGCCCGACGGCCUGUCGGUCCGAGAGGGAGAGCGCGUCACACUCAG